GGAGUGUGGGCGUGGUGGAGGCGGAGCCAAGGACAGAGUCGGAGGACCAGUUCAAUCUGGGCCUGCUUGCUUUUCUCUGUGUGUUCGGACCCUGCUGUUAUCCAUAGGACAAGCUCUGUGACCCUCGCCUGGGACUGACUGGUCUAUGUUCUUUGGGAACCAAUUUCUCUUUGUGAGGUAGAGCACAACCUCCUAGUCUUCCGGGCGGGCCACUCAUUUACCCUGUCAAACUCAGGGGCGGAGCAAUGGGGAACGAAGCUGUAGGGAGCUGAUAAACUCCCAGUUUGAAAACCGAGAUUGUGAGCCCCAGCAGCGAUUCCAGAUUGCUGCCCUACAGGCAGAUGUGUCUUUAUUGGUCUUUAUCGGUCACAUCAGGGUCUUGAUUAGCGUCUUGAGAACUUGAAGCAAACAAUUGCUUAUGGCGUGUCGUUCUUAGACUUAGCCUAGGCAUACCAGAAGUUUACAGCGAAAAAAAUCAGUAGCAAAGCAUCCUAUGAAGGUAAUGUAUGUAGUACAAGGGUUAAAAUCCUGAAUGCCUCUUAAUAGAUGUGUGGCCUUGAGAACAUUUCACUUCCUUGAGCCUCAGUUUCCUGAUCUAUACCAGGAUGCAGAUAACCAUCUGGUAGUGUGGCUGCGAGGGCUAGAGUUUAACAAAUGUAGUUAGGCACUGUUAAGUAAAAGACAACAAAUCCAUUUGUUACUGAAUCUAGUGGAUGAGAAACCAUGUAAGGAAUUUCAGUUUGUUUUAUUUGUUUAAAGCAGGAAGAUGGCAAUCCAAGAUACUGGAAUUCUCUAUUUACACAGUCCUCCCGCCUGAAGUAUGAACGGAGAAACAGAUGGAGAAAGGAAUAGUCUUAUUAACCACAAGGUGGCACACUAGAAGGCGGCAAGCAGGCUUUUGCGUUUCAAUGUCCAUCUUUCCCUUUUGCCCUGUUUUUCAGGGCAUGUGGGUGUUUUUUGGGGUAUGUGGGCCCCAAACAGGUGGAGCCUGGGUGACCCCGUGUUCCAAAGAGCAGCCUGUUCUGGUGUCCUGGUUCUGCACAUCUUACCUUCUUUAUGUAGAGCCGUGAGGUGUUCAGUUCAACACUUUUGUGUUGAUUAAAAUUAAAAUGUCUGGUUAUUGCUGAGGUCAGCUUUUCUGGCAAGCAUCAACUCCAGGAAAUUGACCUCUCAUAACCUGAGACAAGGGAGGAAGGGGAGGGACUAUGUUUUUAGCUAACUUCAAUGAGCAGGUGUUCGACAAAAGGUAAAUUUCAGUGGGCAGCUAAUUCUGGAGAGUGCAGUAUGGAAUAUGCAGAAAUGGGGGUAUUAUGCAUGUUUUUAUUCCCAAGAAGCAGUUUUGGCUUUCUUCUUAUUUGUGUGUUAAAGUGUCAUAUGGGAGUGAUUAGGGGUGGGAGAAAGUUUGUCAACAUGAAGUCAGGAUGUGAAUAUUCACUGCCCAGACUAUAUAAGAAGCAAAAUUGGAAUCAAGUAGGAGGAUCUUAUAUGCAUGCACGAUCUCCAACACACACACACACACACACACACACACACACACACACACACACACACACACACACACCAGGGGCAGGGGAGGGUUCCUUAAAUAGUAGAGCACAGAGGAAGGGUAGGGAAGUUCACUGCAGUUCUACAUCUGCCCUCCAGAACCUUGGUUCUUGUGGAAGCUGCAAUGAAUAAGGACUAGUAAGGGAGAGGCAUAGCCAGGAGGUUCACUGGGAGGCUUGGAUUAUUUGUAAAAGCCAAUGUUGGAUCUAGACGUCAGUGUUUGCUCUUUAUAGACAGGCACAGUCGUGAAGCUUCAAGCUGCUAGCUGUUUCGAUAGCAUCUCAUGGAGAUCUCAUUGUCCAGGUGAUACUGACAGUUCACUCAGGGAUAUUCUAGGGUGAGGAUUCAAGACUCGUCUUUAUUCAUGUAAGGAGAAAAACGGGAAUGUCUUUAUCUUAGCAGGAGAGCUCAUUUUCUCCUUAGGAAACAGUGUCAAUGGUUUUUAGACUUACUAAUUGGAAACCAGGAGGCUGGUGUGAUCUAAAGAGUUCUAGCUUCCAAGGGGCCUUUCAUGAGUCCACAGGACCCUGCCUGCUAAUAGACCUGCAUGGCUAAUAGAACAUUCUGCCAUGACGGAAAACUUCCUCUGUUCUGUCCAGUAUGGCAGCGCUGGCCACAUUUGACUGAUGUCUGCUUGAACUGUGGCUGCUGUGAGUGAGAAACUGAGCUCUAAGUUGUACUUAAUUUUGCUUUUGAACAGACAGCUAGUUCUGUUAGUAGAAAAACUGUAAGUAUAUUUGAAAAACUUGGGUAGAGGAGCUCUUGAGAGGGUUCAGUUAGUAAAGGCUCAGGCCACCAAGUCUGACUGACUGAGUUUGACUCUCAGGAUCUGCAUAGUAGAAAAGAGUACUGACUCCUUAAGUUGUCCCUUAAAACACACACAUGCACACACACACACACAUACACACUCACUGAAUAAAUGUGAUUUAAAAGGCAUACACAUAUCCUUUGGGUUCUAAAGACUACAACAUCUAAAUAUAGAUCAAACACUUCUGAUGAAGACUUUGUGUUCAAGUUGAGAUCUAAUAUGCUUUGUAUUCUUACAUAUUAAAAACCAUAAUAUUCUGGGUUGACUAGCUAAAAUAAAACAUGGAAAUCUG
rnacentral:lncRNA from 1 species